UUGCGCAUAACAAUGCGAUUAAUCGCAAAAAAAUAAUGCGAUUUAAAAAUAUUAAUCGUUGCCCAGCACUACAUUUAAUAUAACUAGCAGGUCAGUGGAAAUGCAGCUUAGCAAAUGGAACAAAGCUACAUUCUGUGAUUUGGGACCAGCGGUGGGAUACGUACACGUCAUUCUUUUAAAACACGCUCUAUUUUCAUGCUCUUUUUUUGGCUUUCUGGUAGCUUAUUUACAUGCAAAGUAAAUUCAAGGAUUCAAGGAUCAUUUGUUGUCAUUAUGCAACACAGGGGUGCACAACAAUAUUUUGCUACACAAGAAAAACAUGAAACAUAGUCCUGCAGGUCUGGCUGGUUGGUCGGCCGUGGGCGGUGAUCGCCUCAAGGGCUGCAGCACUUCCUCCUUCCAACGCGUCCUCUUCCAAUGCUGAUGAAGUAAUUCUGUCCUUUGCAAUUAGUGCUCCAACAAUGUCACUGUGUCCUUGCUCCCGCAGGCUGGUCCUGUGGUGUGUGGAUGGAUGAAUGGUGACAUGUAGUGUUCAAGAGCUUUGAGUGGUCGGAAGACUAGAAAAGAGAAAUACAAGUACAGUCCAUGUACCAUUUAUCUCUGACAUUAUCCUAAGACAAGUCGGCCACAGUGGUAGAAACCACAUGUGAGCAAGGCUGAGCCAGAGAUAUAGGAUUACUGGCACCAGUGUAGCUAUGAGAAAGAUCUUGUCAUGUUGACUGACACACGGAGCCCCAGGCAGACAGACAGGGUAUCUCCAGACAAAGCACCAUUUACCUUAGUGAGAGUAGACUGUAGAAAGCUGAAAAGAUAUCGAGUUGCAUUCACAAUGAGAGCUGCACAUAUUGAGGUAGCAACUGAUUCAUUCAUCAAUGCCUUACACUGCUUCAUAACAAGAUGAGAACAAGUCAAAGAACUCUGCUUGUAUAAUGGUAACAGCUUUAUUGGCAGUUAAGAAGCUCUAUGGACUACCAGAAUCCUCCUUAGAUCCAUAAGGAGCUCCUGCAGAGAAGUAUUAAGCGAACAUUUAAUCCUCCACGAAGCCAUCAUGGAUGAGCAUGGAAGAGACUACUAAUCCAUUGGAGGACUUCAACUGUACCUUUAAGGGUACAAACUGAUGAGGAAGGUCUCCACACACUAAUCUGUGAGGUAGACAUGUUGGUACUAUCCUGUCAUUGUAAGUGUUCGUUGUAAAAAGGCAUCCUCAGAUCCUGCUGACCUGGAGGCUGUGACUCCCUACGUCCUGCUCCUCAAAGGUUUCUUUCAGAAAGCAGAUUUGUAUAGCGUCCCUUGAUGGGACAGUGUAUAGGUCUGAUUUGUUCUGGAAAAUAUGGACAAAGGAGUACUUGCCUCAGCUACAAUAAUGUCAGAAGUGAACCAGAGUCGAGCACAAUUUGGUUGCUGGAGACAUCCUAAUCAUCAUGGACCAGUCAGCACGCGGUACCUCUGGAUCAUGGAGAGAGUUAUUCUAUCUGCUCCAGAUAGGAGAGGACUAGGAUCAGGAUCAGGACCAGGAUCAGGAGCAGGAUCAGGACCAGGAUCAGGACCAGGACCAGCUGAAUGGACAGGCCUGUCAUGAAGAGCCUGAUGGAUACUCCUUGACACAACCUGUUUUGACAUGACAUGUCAAAUAUAAUCACAAUGCAUUCAAAAUAAUACAAAAACCCAAUGGAAAUAAAUACCCAUAUGAGAUUCUAAACAUGAUGACAAUACAACAGAUAAGACAUGUUGGAAAUAUGUGCGCUAACAUUAAUUAGAAUAGCUAUUCUGAAAAGAUAAGUUUUGAGCAGUGAUUCAAAAGAUUCUCCAGCCUCAGAGCAGCAACUGAGCAAUAUACCUAAGUGUGUAGAGAAAUAAAUGACGUGUCCUUCCCUUUGUCCUAGUCCCUGUAGACACCAAUCUCAUUGUCGUGGUCCAGGCCAAAGAGGAUGCCUACAUCCCUCGAACAGGGGUCCUCAGUCUGCAAGAGAUCUGGCCAGGAUGUGAAGUGAGAUAUCUGAAUGGAGGACACAUCAGUGCAUACCUGUUUAAACAGAACGUCUUCAGACGGGCCAUAUAUGAUACAUUCGACAGAUUCUGCCUGAAGUAUCCCGACCUGCACUAGCCAUGGCCGGCUGAAGCCUUCCUCCCGGGAACAGCACCAGGAUCAGUGGCUGGACAUUCCUGUCCCCAAACCAAAAGCUUUGCUUUCUAAUCAUUUAUAUCAGAUAAUUAUAGAAAAUGACUAAAACUAAAGAUAUCAAAAAUAGUUGUGGAAUAUUUGCACCAGUGUGUGUGUGGUUGUUAAACUAACACUCAGGCCUUUAGUUUGACUUUAGUAAGUGGACUUUAACCCUGUGGCAGUGCACAUUCUCCGGUGUUGUCAAUGUUUUACCUGGAGAAAUGUGGAUAGGACACACAGACACACCCUGUAAUAUUGUAUUAAAAUGACCAACAUGUACACAAGGGAGUCACAGCAAACAAUGCAGCUUGUCAUUUGAUCUGAUAGAUAUCAGCCUCACUGUUUACAGUUCACUCUCCUCAGUGGUCAGCUACUGCUAACUGGUACCCAACAUUUCACUAUAAGUGUGACAGGCUUUAUUUCUGUUUUGGGAGCAGCACAAGGACCUGUAAACGGAACUUGACUUAUCACCUUAUUAGGUUUUUAAACUUUAAGCGUUCUUUUUACCAACUCCUGAGAAAAAUAUAGCAUAGCAUACCAGUGGUUCUUCUGAUGUAUUUUAAAUAAAAGUCACUAGAGACCUGAGAUAUGUAAGAGAGUUCUAUUUUAUUCCCAGAAUGCUAGACAGAAGAGAUGAUGAAUAAUGUUGUAUUUCCCUGUGUGGCCUCAUGAUGGUGCUGAUGUCUCACUGUUACUAUGAAUAAAAACAGUGAUGAAAAAACUUAGUUUAA